rnacentral:sRNA from 1 species
CAAAAACAAAACAAAAGAAGAGUCAAAUCCAGAAGCCUGGUGUUCUCCCAGCUCAUCCCAGGCAGCUCAGUUCCUCUCGUGCCCCACCCACUUGGACUCUAGACGCCAGCCAACCGCCUCGUGGGAUCUGAUACAAGAGUGCGGACUUUGUCUCCUCACCCUGAGAGGCUGGAAACAUUUCAGUCCUCCAUUGGAACUUAGGCAGGAGUGAGGCGGAGGGUUAAAAGAGGGAGUCGCAGAACCUGGAGUCCGCGCUCCGGAAUAACAGGGCUUACCAAAAAUGACCCAUUAAUGGACCCGGGGCUGUCAAGCGCCUUUCAAAUGGUCGCUACACUUACUGAAAGCUCCCCGUGUGCCAAGAACCCUUCCGAGCAAUUUGUGUCAAGUUACUGAACGCUGUGGAAAAUCCUAUGACGUAUUCAUUACCUUCAUUUUACAGACGAAGAGGUGGGAGAGGGAGGGGUCAGUCUUUCACCCAAGGAGACAAAAGGAUUGACGGGCUGUUACAGGAGGCAAAAACAGCUGGAUCACGGGUGCUCUGCCCACACCCGAGAGAGCGCUGCGCUCCAAAACCCCUCCGUUACUUCCUGGUCCCUGCCAACGAGGUUCCCACCUCCUCCUCCGUUCUUGCCUGAUUCCUCUCUGCUUGAAACAGCCAACCAGCUAAAAGGAACCUGUGCACUUGUGUCAGGGGCCAGCAGCUUGCUCAAGACUCCAGUCCCACCACCUUCCAAGAGACCUUCCUCCAGUGCACUUGUACUCUGGAGUGAGUCUGAACUUCGCUCGCCUCUGAUAACAGUCAUCAUCAUCUGCCUAACUCCAUUGUUUAGAGGAAGAGAUCGAUACUUUAAUGCAAGAAUCAGUCCGGGGCAAAAUUACAAAUGGGGUCAAAGUUCAUCUGUGUCAAACUCAACCUCCUCGCUCCUUUCUCUGCUCUUGGAUGCCCUUCAUUUGCUUCUCCUUGUUCUCCUAUACUCUUAGGGUCCUUUUUCAAAACUUGCCCUUGCUCUGUGUGGCAGAGCCUGCCUCGGAUCUCAAGGGAAAGGCAAACAGAGCUCCAUUAGUUUGAAGCUGACCUGGUCUACAUAGGAAAUUGUGGGUCAGCUAGGGCUACACAGAGACCCUGUCACAAAACCAAACAAAAAAUGUGUUCUUUAGAAAGGAUCAGAACCAACCCUAAUAUCUUUAUGGCUGCCGAAAAUGUUGUUUUUUGUUUUUGUUUUUG